rnacentral:lncRNA from 1 species
UGUGCGAUCGUGAGCAGGGAACCAAGAAGAACUCCUCAUCUAACCCUAACUUCACAAUCCAUCAAAUUAAAAGGGAAAUCGGGGUCUAGUUGAAUGCAUGAGAUAAGAAUGGCACAAAGAAGGAAGAAGGCGCAAGUCACUCAAAGGCACAAUCAUCACAAGAUCGCGGUAAAUCCCUUGCUUGAAUGCGGCGCACCCGAACCGAACACACACACGAAACGUCGACUCUAAGCGCUUCCGGUCCAAGUUGUUUGUUUGAUGGGUUAACUUACCAUUUUGUUUAGUAAAUGUUAUUUUGUAAGUGUCUAGUUUGUUAGUAGAAAGUUUGGAUACUAAACUUUGUGUAGUUUGUACAAAAGGUUCAUGGCGAACCAUAUACGGUCUUAACUUUGAUUAUGUUGGAAAGUGUCGUAGUAUUAAUAGUAAUGGUAUU